GAAGAUUUCCUUCUUCUUCUAGCCAGCUUUUUGUUGCUGAGCUGUAAGCUCCUUUGCGAUCUGUGCCAAGGAAAAAUUAGAAUGUUUUUUUUAGCUGUUCCACACUGCCAUACUGAGUGUUGGUUAUGAUAGGUUGUUGUAAUAUUGUCUGCCUAAGGUGAAUUAGAUUGGAGCAUUCAAAGAAGAUAUGAUUGACAGUUUCAAGAGGCUGGGCGCAAUGUUUGCGGUUUAUUCUGUUAUGGUGAAAAUGUAAAGCUUUGUGUCCUGUUCUAAGUUGAAAGAAAGUAGAUAGCUGUAUUAAGGGGAUGAAAUUGAUACUGUUUAGAUAAAGCUUGUUUUUGCAUGGUCAUGCAAUUAAUUGCUUGCUAACAUUGAGUUUUGAGUGUGGCAAUUAAAUGGUCUGUUGGGUUUUUCCAUGGAUAAUUUGCCUAUUCAUUUCCCAUGAUGCCUAUGUUACCAAAGAUCUAUUGUAAUGUCACAGUGAUGUUAAAAUUCAACAUUAUAUAAGAUAAGAUAAUGUUUAUUGAUCCAAUCUAAUGGAAAUUCAGUUUGACUACAAUUGACAACCUCAGCGUAACUACUGUACUGUAUAGGUUAUCAAGAUUUCUUGGGCUAGAUGAGUCUGUUAAGACAAUAAUCUCUGAUAGUGAUAGUUGUUAAAGACUUUGUUUCUUACUGUCUGUAAAGAAAUAAGAGAUUGCAUCCAUUUCGGCUUCAAAGCAGCACUAGGGUACUUAAGUAUAAAGUUAAUAACAUUUGGUGAAGCAUAAGCUCUUAAAUCAUAGAGUUCUGAACUGCCAACGUUGACCAGGUACUAAGCUAACAUCUGACUGUGCCAUACAGGUCCCUCCAGAAAAAAAAAGCUUCCAAGCCAGUAGAGUUAUUUUGGUCUGUAGACCUGUAUUGUUACCCAGGGUAAUGUCAGAGCCUAUCUUUGUUUCACCAGAUUUUGUUCACUUUUUUCUGUCAGCAAUUAUUGUGCUUAUGUUAUAUGUCAUGUUUCAUUUGUUUUAGGAGGCCUGGUAAAUGCUAGCCCUCCAAGCCGGGGGUCCCGGGUUCAACUCUUGGUGAAGACUGGAAUUUUUCAUUUCAGGAUCUUUGGGCGCCUUAAUUGGUACCUGACAUUAAGUGGGGAAAAGUAAAGGCUGUUAGUCAUCAUGCAGGCCUUGUGACACUGUGGGUCACAGAAACAGAUAACCCUAUAUUUCACUAAGGGGAACUUUACUGACAACACUUUUUUAUUUGUUUAACAUUUAAGCUUCAAACACCAUUUACAUUACCUGUUAAAAGAAUCCCACUUUGUAAACUUUUCUAUUUAAAUGUUAAAAUGGUUAAAGUCCACGUGAUAAAGAUGUAAAGAAAGAUGAUUUCAAGUGAUGAUUGUCUCACACCACUCUCUCAAACUUAAAAGAUGUUGCAUUGUUUUCAAUUUUUUAGGUAACAAAGACAAGAGUUUUCUUUAAAAUUAUCUAUUGAUAAUGCUUAAUUUUUUUUUAUUAAGUUUAAGGACCACAGCUGCUCCAAGCCCCCAACAGUAGACUGCAUCAGUGAAGGAGAAGAGGAGGAUGAAAGCAAUUUAUCUUGAACAACUGAAAAAAGAGACAUUGACAUCCAGACAGACAUGAACACUGCAAAUGGUUUAGAUGAGAUAAGAAAAUGUGCGAUGGAUAAGCUUGAAAUCAGUCAAGAUAGGAAAAGCAUGGACCUAGUGUAGCAAGAGAAAUGUGUUCAACAGAAUAAUGACCAGCCGAAACGUGAAGAAGAACUUUUAAAAGAUAAGCUGGAUGAAUUGAUCUCUAAAGAGAAAUCGCUGUCACGACAAAGGGAUAGUAAAACAGACAUAGAGAAAAAACUAUUGGAAAGUAAGGUCCGAGAGCUUGAGGAGAAACUCCUGGUGAUAAGCCCAGAGAUGUUUGAACAGGAAAUACAGAUUUAUUUUUAGAACCAGUCACUUAAAGAAAAGAUGGAGGAGGAAAUAAACACAAUGAAAGCUUGACUAGCCCUAAGUUCAGAACAUUGCAGUAGAAUAAAGGUUGAUACAGAAGUCAAAGUGUAAAAAAUAGAAAAUAUGCAAACUAUGUUACAAAUGGAGUAAACAAAAUAUUUUUUAUUCCUCAGAAUCAUGAAUCUCAGCUGACAGCCAAAGAAGAAGAACUGCAAAGAGUGAACAUGACUCUUCAGAAAUUUGAAAAAGACAACAAAGUUUUACAAGCUAUGUUGAAGCACACAGAAGUUUGUGAGCAGAAAGCUCCUGAAGUGCCAAAUUUUCAAGUUAUUAAGAAAAUUGAAUCAGCCUAUAGCCGCAAGAUGUAAGAGUUCGAGAGGUCAAUCUUUGGCAAAGAUAAAAAAGUAGCUGAGUUAUUAUUUGAAGUAGCACAAUUAAAAGAGGAACUUCACCUUCCCAGGGAAACAGAUGCAUCUGUUUUAAAAGACAGGAAUUGCAAUAAAAUGGAUGCUGCUGAGGCAUUUCAAGAAUUUCUGAGUGCUGUGCCUAUGCAAGGAGGUGCUAUUGGUGAGCCUGGAGAGAAAAAAAUGGCUCGGUUAGAGGAAGAACUCUAAUAAAAGAAACAAAAAUGCCAGAAAUAAAUGAACAAUCUUGGAGAAGUAAAAAAAAGUGAAUGAACUAAUAACAUCCUUUUAAAGAGUCACUGUUUUUGUAAAAGCUGUAUAAAGUUUGUUUUUUUAUACCAAUCAAUGGUUAUAAUUCAAAUGAAAGCCACUUCAUUCUUCUUAAAAAAUCCAGUACAAGAGAUACAGUAGGCCUACUUGUAAGCAUGUCAAUGAUUGGUUGAAUCCUACCAGUAUUUGAAUAAACAUAUAUUUUAGUUUAAUGCCCAAGAUUGGCAUUGACUCUAGACAAAUAAUUGUGUUUAUACACAGUUUGACU